AUGUUCCCUAGAGUUCCUCCAUAACACUUCAUCAUCAGUAGUGGACAUCCUUAUUGCAAAUAGAAUCAACUCCUUACAUGUUGAAGUGUUUGGGGGAACUCCUGGGCUCAU
rnacentral:pre_miRNA from 1 species